AGCUCUGUAAGCGUAUACCAAAGUUGUUGCAGUUAAAACGCUCGUAGUCGGAUUUUGGCGUGGUGCUUCUGAGAUGCCUGAUUGGGUGUCGAAGGUUAGUCCCGCCUUUGUGGAGGGGGGCGUGGUGGCGCUUUAUUGCGUUGCUGCGUUUCCGCCACUGUUUACUGUGAAAAAAUUAGAGUGUUCAAAGCGAGCGAUUGCCAUGAAUACAUUAGCAUGGAAUAAUAGAAUAGGACCUGGUCCUGUUUUGUUGGUUUGUCGGUAUCAGGUAAUGAUUAAGAGGGACGGUCGGGGGCAUUUGUAUUCCAGGGUUAGAGGUGAAAUUCUUAGAUCCUUGGAAGACAAACAGCUGCGAAAGCGUCUGCCAAGGACGUUUUCAU
rnacentral:rRNA from 1 species